rnacentral:rRNA from 1 species
UAGUGGCAGACGGGUGAGUAAUGUAUAGGAAUCUACCUAGUAGUACGGAAUAAUUGUUGGAAACGGCAACUAAUACCGUAUACGCCCUACGGGGGAAAAAUUUAUUGCUAUUAGAUGAGCCUAUAUUAGAUUAGCUAGUUGGUGGAGUAAUAGCCUACCAAGGCAAUGAUCUAUAGCUGAUCUGAGAGGAUGAUCAGCCACACUGGAACUGAGAUACGGUCCAGACUCCUACGGGAGGCAGCAGUGGGGAAUAUUGGACAAUGGGCGAAAGCCUGAUCCAGCCAUGCCGCAUGAGUGAAGAAGGCCUUUGGGUUGUAAAGCUCUUUUAGUGAGGAAGAUAAUGACGGUACUCACAGAAGAAGUCCUGGCUAACUCCGUGCCAGCAGCCGCGGUAAUACGGAGAGGGCUAGCGUUAUUCGGAAUUAUUGGGCGUAAAGGGCGCGUAGGCUGGUUAAUAAGUUAAAAGUGAAAUACCCGAGGCUUAACCUUGGAAU